rnacentral:rRNA from 1 species
GAUGAACGCUAGCGGCAGGCUUAAUACAUGCAAGUCGUGGGGCAGCAGGACGGUAGCAAUACCGUUGCUGGCGACCGGCAAACGGGUGCGGAACACGUACACAACCUUCCUUUAAGUGGGGGAUAGCCCAGAGAAAUUUGGAUUAAUACCCCGUAACAUGGUGAAAAGGCAUCUUUUUAUCAUUAUAGCAGCAAUGCGCUUAAUGAUGGGUGUGCGGCUGAUUAGGUAGUUGGCGGGGUAACGGCCCACCAAGCCUUCGAUCAGUAACUGGUGUGAGAACACGAGCAGUCACACGGGAACUGAGACACAGGCCCGACUCCUGCGGGAGGCAGCAGUAAGGAAUAUUGAGCAAUUGAGGCUACUCUUACCCAUCCAUGCCGCGUGGAGGAUGAAGUUCCCCUGGAUUGUAAACUUCCUUUAUAUUGGACGAAAAAAGGGUUUUCUAACUCGACUGACGGUACCAUAUGAAUAAGCACCGACUAUCUCCGUGCCAGCAGCCGCAGUAACAC